ensembl:rRNA 5S_rRNA 5S ribosomal RNA
GCCUACGACCAUAUCACCCUGAAUGCGCCCGAUCUCGUCUGAUCUCGGAAGCUAAGCAUGGUCGAGCCUGGUUAGUACUUGGAUGGGAGUCUGCCUGGGAAUACCAGGUGUUGUAGGCU